ensembl:snRNA U6 U6 spliceosomal RNA
GUGCUCGCUUCGGCAGCACAUAUAUUAAAAUGGGAACGAUACAGCAAAGAUUAGCAUGGCCCCUGUGCAAGGGUGACAUGCAAAUUUGUGAAGCGUUCCAUUUUUUU